CUUAACAAAUUGUAGAGCAUUGGUCCAUCCAUACUAACACGGUAAAAUAGUGAGAUUUUCCGUUAGUUUGAUGACGUGGUCUUUGUGGACUCCAUAUUUUUGUUAACUAAAUGCCACGUGGCUUAAAAAAUUCAAAUUUAAAAUAAAUACAAACAUAGAGAAAGUAAAAAAAUAAAAACAUAAAAGCUAUCUCUCUCUCUCUCGUCUUCCCUUCUGCCUCGCCUCCUCCAAACCCCAGCCACAGCAUUGUAGCACUCUCCAAACAACCAAAACAAAAGAAAGUUUGUAAACCAAAUGUCGAACACGUCUCCCUUUGUAAACGAAUUCACAAUGACAUCCAUCCACGCUGUCUCGAAAGGUAAGAUUUAAGAAUUUUGUGGGAUGCAGGUUCGGGGUUUGGGUGAAGGCUGAGCUCCGUGGGCUACAGGUUGGAGUCGGCUGCGGUUGUUGGUGGAUGAGAAAAUUAUACUCAAAGCAGAACUAUCAGAUUCUUUUGCUUUUGCUGUCAACAACUGAAGAGAUGGAGAAAAGUCUCAAAGUAGCUUUCAUCAUCGUGCUCAUCUUCCUUGCUGGAUCUAGCGGUAAAAUAUACAAUCCAAACACUUUUUUUUUUUUUUUUUCUUCACUUACUGUAAAAUGGAAUCGAAGCUUGAGCAAGCCGAAUCCUAGUAGUGGUUUUGAGUUUAGUAGCCGAAUCCUAGGGGCGAGAUGGAGUUGUUAGGUUCCUCAUUCUAUUGGGCCUAUUCCAUUUAGUAUAGUUAUCCCAUUCACAUAUUUCGGGUUGUAGAUUGCUCAGGCUCUAUGUAUUUAGUCUCUUUUACUCUUUUGGAGGAUUAUGAAUGAAAAUAUAAAUGUUUUAGUUCA